rnacentral:lncRNA from 1 species
UUUAUAACACAGGUCUUAGUUGAACCGCCUUUGGCCGAAAAUGGAUCUUUGUAAUUUCCAGUCAUGAAACUAAUCUACAUACUAUGUUUAUAUUCCUGUGUUUUGAAAUUAUUUUGCAUCAACCUUUUUCAUGUACAAGAUUUAUUUCUGACAAGUGGGCGGAGAACCGUUCCAAGAUUCGUCCUUGCCUUUUAGGCGAGCGGUUCCCUGUAGUGUGUAACCAUGAUCACAGCCAAACACUAUAACGUCGUUGUGUUUGAUGCCGAAUUGUGUGCUUAUCAACCCAUUCUGUGGUGGCACAAGCCUUU